rnacentral:rRNA from 1 species
UACGGAGGGUGCAAGCGUUAAUCGGAAUUACUGGGCGUAAAGGGUGCGUAGGUCGUUGAAUAAGUUAUCUGUGAAAUCCCCGGGCUUAACCUGGGCAGGUCAGAUAAGACUGUUUGACUCGAGUAUGGGAGAGGGUAGUGGAAUUUCCGGUGUAGCGGUGAAAUGCGUAGAGAUCGGAAGGAACACCAGUGGCGAAGGCGGCUACCUGGCCUGUUACUGACACUGAAGCACGAAAGCGUGGGGAGCAAACAGGAUUAGAUACCCUGGUAGUCCACGCUGUAAACGAUGUCAACUAGCUGUUGGUCAUAUAAAUAUGAUAAGUGGCGAAGCUAACGCGAUAAGUUGACCGCCUGGGGAGUACGGUCGCAAGAUUA